rnacentral:tmRNA from 1 species
GGGGUUGUACUGGUUUCGACAGGGAUUUUAAGCUCGGAGAAGCAGGUCGCAGGCACGCGCAAAUCCAAACCUAAAUAUAAAUGCUGAAGACGAUUACGAUUUAGCACUUGCUGCCUGAUGGCAGCGCGUCCUUCCUGAUGCACCCACGUCAUUAGGGUAAGGGCGUCGAACUCGUGGGAAACGACGUAGUAAGUGACUCGUAACUACGGGCGUAUCAGAGCCUACCAAAACGUCUGUACCGUGUCGGUCCGGGACAGAUUGAGGGAAUAAACAUAGACACGACUAAACCUGUAGAAGUACGAGGGAGGAAUCUUUGGACAGGGGUUCGAUUCCCCUCAGCUCCA